rnacentral:ncRNA from 2 species
AGCUUAUCAAGAAAGGUGGAGGGACUUGCCCUGCGAAGCCUUAGCAACCCUUUGAUUGGUUGAUUGGUUGAUUUUUAAUUAGUUUUUAGGCUAAGCCUGAAUUUCUAUUUUAACUUAUUUAACCCAUUUACUAAAUUAAGAAGGUGCUAAAUCCUGUCCUUACAACAAUGUAAGAAACAGAUAAGUC